rnacentral:rRNA from 1 species
CUUGAACGCUGGCGGCAGGCCUAACACAUGCAAGUCGAGCGAGCGGCGGACGGGUGAGUAAUGUCUGGGAAACUGCCUGAUGGAGGGGGAUAACUACUGGAAACGGUAGCUAAUACCGCAUACCCUCAGAUGUGCCCAGAUGGGAUUAGCUAGUAGGUGGGGUAAUGGCUCACCUAGGCGACGAUCCCUAGCUGGUCUGAGAGGAUGACCAGCCACACUGGAACUGAGACACGGUCCAGACUCCUACGAGAGGCUGCAGUGGUGAAUAUUGCACAUUGGGCGCAAUCCUGAGGCAGACAUGCCGCGUGUGUGAAGAAGGCCUUCGGGUUGUAAAGCACUUUCAGCGGGGAGGCGGUACCCGCAGAAGAAGCACCGGCUAACUCCGUGCCAGCAGCCGCGGUAAUUC